rnacentral:siRNA from 1 species
UAGUGACUGUUGGUUAUAGCAUGC